CUACGUGCCAGCAGCCGCGGUAAUACGUAGGGUGCGAGCGUUAAUCGGAAUUACUGGGCGUAAAGCGGGCGCAGACGGUUACUUAAGCAGGAUGUGAAAUCCCCGGGCUCAACCUGGGAGCUGCGUUCUGAACUGGGUGACUAGAGUGUGUCAGAGGGAGGUAGAAUUCCACGUGUAGCAGUGAAAUGCGUAGAGAUGUGGAGGAAUACCGAUGGCGAAGGCAGCCUCCUGGGAUAACACUGACGUUCAUGCCCGAAAGCGUGGGUAGCAAACAGGAUUAGAUACCCUGGUAGUCCACGCCCUAAACGAUGUCGAUUAGCUGUUGGGCAGCAUGACUGCUUAGUAGCGAAGCUAACGCGUGAAAUCGACCGCCUGGGGAGUACGGUCGCAAGAUUAAAACUCAAAGGAAUUGACGGGGACCCGCACAAGCGGUGGAUGAUGUGGAUUAAUUCGAUGCAACGCGAAGAACCUUACCUGGUCUUGACAU
rnacentral:rRNA from 1 species